rnacentral:rRNA from 1 species
UACGGAGGGAGCUAGCGUUGUUCGGAAUUACUGGGCGUAAAGCGUGCGCAGGCGGUCUUUUAAGUCAGAUGUGAAAUCCCCGGGCUUAACCUGGGAACUGCGUUUGAAACUGGAAGGCUUGAGUGUGGCAGAGGGGGGUGGAAUUCCACGUGUAGCAGUGAAAUGCGUAGAGAUGUGGAGGAACACCGAUGGCGAAGGCAGCCCCCUGGGCUAACACUGACGCUCAUGCACGAAAGCGUGGGGAGCAAACAGG